CUGGCGGCAGGCCUAACACAUGCAAGUCGAACGGUAACAUUUCUAGCUUGCUAGAAGAUGACGAGUGGCGGACGGGUGAGUAAUGCUUGGGAACUUGCCUUUAGGAGGGGGAUAACAGUUGGAAACGACUGCUAAUACCGCAUAAUGUCUUCGGACCAAACGGGGCUUAGGCUCCGGCGCAAAGAGAGGCCCAAGUGAGAUUAGCUAGUUGGUAAGGUAACGGCUUACCAAGGCUACGAUGAUUAGGGGGCCUGAGAGGGUGAUCCCCCACACUGGUACUGAGAUACGGACCAGACUCCUACGGGAGGCAGCAG
rnacentral:rRNA from 1 species